UACGGGGGGAGCAAGGCGUUGUUCGGAUUUACUGGGCGUAAAGGGCGCGGUAGGCGGUCAGCACAAGUCAGUUGUGAAAUCUCCGGGCUUAACUCGGAAAGGUCAACUGAUACUGUGCGACUAGAGUGCAGAAGGGGCAACUGGGAAUUCUCGGUGUAGCGGUGAAAUGCGUAGAUAUCAGGAGGAACACCUGCGGUGUAGACGGCUUACUGGACGGUAACUGACGCUGAGGCACGAAAGCGUGGGUAGCAAACAGG
rnacentral:rRNA from 1 species